GACGAACGCUGGCGGCGUGCUUAACACAUGCGAGUCGAGCGGUAAGGCCCUUCGGGGUACACGAGCGGCGAACGGGUGAGUAACACGUAAGCAAUCUACCCUUCACUCUGGGAUAACCCCCGGAAACGGGAGCUAAUACCGGAUACGACCACUUCGGACAUCCGAUGGUGGUGGAAAGUUCCGGCGGUGAAGGAUGAGCUCGCGGCCUAUCAGCUUGUUGGUGGGGUAACGGCCCACCAAGGCUUCGACGGGUAGCCGGCCUGAGAGGGUGACCGGCCACACUGGGACUGAGACACGGCCCAGACUCCUACGGGAGGCAGCAGUGGGGAAUAUUGGACAAUGGGCGAAAGCCUGAUCCAGCAACGCCGCGUGAGGGAUGACGGCCUUCGGGUUGUAAACCUCUUUCAGCGCAGACGAAGCGAAAGUGACGGUAUGCGCAGAAGAAGCACCGGCCAACUACGUGCCAGCCGCCGCCGUAA
rnacentral:rRNA from 1 species